AGGCGAUUAGUUUAAGGUAAAACAUUUAAUUUCGGCUUAAAAACUUGCAGUUAAAAUCUGUAAUCGCCUA
rnacentral:tRNA from 1 species